rnacentral:rRNA from 1 species
GAGUUUGAUCCUGGCUCAGGAUAAACGCUGGCGGCGCACAUAAGACAUGCAAGUCGAACGAACUUAACCAUUAGUUUACUAUUGGAGCGGUUAGUGGCGGACUGGUGAGUAACACGUAAGCAACCUGCCUAUCAGAGGGGAACAACAGUUAGAAAUGACUGCUAAUACCGCAUAUGCCUUAGAAUCACAUGGUUCAAAAGGGAAAGGAGCAAUCCGCUGAUAGAUGGGCUUGCGUCUGAUUAGCUAGUUGGUGGGGCAACGGCCUACCAAGGCGACGAUCAGUAGCCGAACUGAGAGGUUGAACGGCCACAUUGGGACUGAGAUACGGCCCAGACUCCUACGGGAGGCAGCAGUCGGGAAUAUUGCGCAAUGGAGGAAACCCUGAUGCAGCGACGCCGCGUGGAGGAAGAAGGUUUUCGGAUUGUAAACUCCUGUCGUUAGGGACGAUAAUGACGGUACCUAACAAGAAAGCACCGGCUAACUACGUGCCAGCCGCCGCGGUAAUAC